CCGGACGCCUUGAGUGACAAGGCGGCGGAGCCGCUGGCAGACGCAGGGCGCGGGAGACGCUGCACGCCGUGGCCCCGCUUCUUCGGCAAGUCCGUAGCACGGGGCACAGAGGAGGAAGAGAGACUCUAGAGGCCUCAACUCUAGUUUAAGACUCUGAAAAGCCCCAGCUGGAUGGAUUUGAAGAAGCCAAGCGUGGACCGGUGCUCGGACAGCUGGAGAAAUUUGAAUAGCGAGUGGGUAUUAGGGAAUUAUUAUUAGUUUUGUUUGGUGGGAGAAUGGCAUCGUGGUUAUCUGAAAAAUCUUGUUUCUCACGGAUAAACCUUGAAAACAUGCUGAGUAAAAUGAGUUACAAAAGAACAGAUAACUGUAAGCUCCCAAUAUGAAAUAAGGAAAUGUAUGGAAACCAUGCUUGGUAAAGUACAGGGUCCGCAGAAAAGAGGAAGACCCUCCAGGAGAUGGGUUGACACCGUGGCUACAUCGGUGGGCUCAAGCAUAACGACUGUGAGGAGGGUGCAGAACCAGGCAGUGUUCCGUUCUGUUGUACCUACAGGGUCGCUCUGAGUCGGAACCAACUGCACGGCACCUGGGGACAACAACACAGAAACCGAAGAUGAUUUCUGGUCCAACGAGGUGCACUGAACCAGCAGCUGCAAGGAUGGGCUCCGGCCCAAGGCUCGUGAGGCUGGCACAGGGCCAGGCAGCUGGCACAGGGCCAGGCAGCGUUUCCUUCUGCUGUACAAAGGGUCGCUGUGGGUUGGGUCGGAUGCCAGGCACCUAGCAAAGAUCUGGGGGAAGCCAGCCGCCAUGUUAUGAGGAGACUCUCGCAGCUCUACGGGACAGUCCGCACAGCGAAGAACUGAGGCCUCCAACCAACAGCUAUGUGAGGAAACCACCUUGGAAACAGCUUCUCCAGCUCCAGUCAAGCCUUCAGAUCCUACUGCCCUGGCUGCCGUCUUGAAUGCAACCUCACUGGAGACCCUGAGCCAAAACCAUCCAGCUCAGCCACUGCCGGAUUCCUGACCCAUUGAAACUGUGAAAUGAUAAAUUUUGUUGUUGUAAGCCAGUAAGUAGUGGGAUAAGUUGUUAACGCAGCAAUAGAUAAAUGAAAAUAUGUUAUAAAUAAUUAAAAAAUGUCUACGAGUCAUUGAGAAACUCUCCUAGAUUCACAAAAUUUUGGAGCUGAAAGGACACCCAACUCAUAGUCACUAGCAUGAUCAACACUCAGGUGGAGCGCAGGUUUCAGAGUGUGGUUUAAUGCUACGUGCAUUAAUAUAUCAAAGCUGUUUUCAGAAACAAAAAGUUUUUAAGUCACAUCAUGGGUUUCCUCGAUGUCCAUCCUGAGGGCUUUGGCCGUUCCAGCUGCAGCAAGCACUGAGAUGGGAGAAACCGGUACCACCAGAUACC